UGGAGUUUGUCACAAAUAUAUAAUCUAUAUUAGGUGGAGUUUGUCACAAAUGUUAGCUUAGUGUGGUUUACGUCUUCCGUAUGGUUUGCGAACUAUUAUAAAAAAAAUGUAUAUUCACCAAGUGCACCUAUAUGGUUGGCUGCGGGUUCCUUCAUUGUUAAAAAAAAAAGUAACAUAACAUAUUUAAGUUGCAUUAAUGUGUUAACUUCAUAUCCUAAUAACCAAUAAUAAUACACAAAAAUUCGAAUGCAACACCACAAUCCGACAAACCCAAAAAAGGCUUCUCAUACCCGGUGCUUUAACCUCAAUCACAUAGAAUCAUUUUUAACUCAAUUUAUUUUAAUCGAAAAGUAGAAAAAGAAUUUAUGUCACA
rnacentral:lncRNA from 1 species